GAUGAACGCUGGCGGCGUGCCUAAUACAUGCAAGUCGAGCGAACGGAUGAGAAGCUUGCUUCUCUGACGUUAGCGGCGGACGGGUGAGUAACACGUGGAUAACCUACCUAUAAGACUGGGAUAAUUUCGGGAAACCGGAGCUAAUACCGGAUAAUAUUUUGAACCGCAUGGUUCAAUAGUGAAAGACGGUUUUGCUGUCACUUAUAGAUGGAUCCGCGCUGCAUUAGCUAGUUGGUAAGGUAACGGCUUACCAAGGCAACGAUGCAUAGCCGACCUGAGAGGGUGAUCGGCCACACUGGAACUGAGACACGGUCCAGACUCCUACGGGAGGCAGCAGUAGGGAAUCUUCCGCAAUGGGCGAAAGCCUGACGGAGCAACGCCGCGUGAGUGAUGAAGGUCUUCGGAUCGUAAAACUCUGUUAUUAGGGAAGAACAAAUGUGUAAGUAACUAUGCACGUCUUGACGGUACCUAAUCAGAAAGCCACGGCUAACUACGUG
rnacentral:rRNA from 1 species